GGCUUGUUGGUAAUAGCAGGUUUUGCAGUUGAAAUCCUUGGGUUUUUUUCUUUUAAAACUUAAUUAUGCUGAGCAUUUAAGAAUAUGUUCUUGUUUUUAAUAGAAGGGGGGGGGAAGUUAUUUUUAAUUAGGGAUUCCAAAAUUGAUGAUCUUUUAUAAACGGGAUUUCUUUAAAAGACCUUGAAUAAGGGAUUUAUUUUUCUUUAAUUUCAACUCCAUUCUUGUGGGUAAUUUGUAUUUGCAAUUCCUGGUUGCAUUGCUUUAUCUGGUGCUUCAUAUUGACAUUUACACAUUUUUAUAUAAGUAAGUAUAUAAACUUCAAGCCUUCCUUUGUGAUCAGGGGCAGUUACACUCUGGUUUGCUGUGGUACUUUGCUGUGUACUCUGUGGCAUUCAUGUUACUGUGUAAAUAAACUAGUUUUAUUACACUCAAACUUUCGCUUGUCUUUUUCUUCAUAGGAAAUUAGCCUAAAAUCUGUACUUCUGAGGAAAACACACGUGGCAAGUCCAGAAAAAAAGGUUUUCCUCCAAGAAAAGUGGGCUGGUUUGCAGCAGCAGCUAGUGUGUGAGUGCAACAGAUAGGAGCUUUGGUUGACAAGUGACACUCAGCACCUGUGGCCAAGCACCCCCGCUGCCCAGGGCUCAGGACGCAGAGCUGCCUGCCACCUCUGAUGGUGUUUCCCCAGAAGUCUCACCAUGGCUGGCUCUGGUUCAGCUCCAUGCUGACAAGCAGCAGCGGCAGCCCAAAAAUAAACUCCACCAGCAACUGCUGCUGACUGAACAACUGUCUGGUAAAGCCUUCUUUACCAGAGAGAGGUACUGGGAUGUGCUGUGCCCCUGCUGUCACCCCAGGCAGAGGGGUCUAGACGGACAGCAGCAGCGUGACAUUCAGCAAAGGUAAAUGCUGUGUUCUGCCCCAGGACAGAGUAAUGCCAGACACAGGUACGGACAGGGAGGUGAGUGACCGGAGAGCAGCCCUGCAGAGAGGGAUCUGGGGGUGCUGGUUGACAGCAGGCUCCGCAUGAGCCAGCAGUGAGCCCUGGCCACCAAGAGGGCAAACCAAUUUUUGGGGGUGCAUUAAACACAGCGUAGCCAGCCGGUCACACGAGGGGAUUCUCCCACUGUGUUUAGUGCUGGUGAGGCCUUCCCCUGAAUAUUGUGUGCAGUUCCAGGCUCC
rnacentral:lncRNA from 1 species